CAGGGAGGUCCUCCAUCCGGCCUGUUCUGGGAGGCAGGAGGGUCUGGGUGUCCUCCCAAGCUUGCUGGGAGGCAAGAAGGAGGCCACUGAGCUCAGAGAGGGCAGGCACAGCCCAGCCUCCUGGUUCCCAGUUCAACAGUCUCAACUGGCCAUAAAUGGCAUGCUCCUUGCUCUGUCACACCCUCCCUGCCCAGCAGUGAUGAGUGCCAUUCCUGCCUAGUGGAGCAUUUACAGAGCGGCAGGAUCUGAGCAGUACUGACUGUCCCUCCAAGCCCACCCGCCAGGCCCAAAUCCCCUCUGUUCCUCCUGGGAGGCACCGUCCCAUCCUGCUGACAGACCUCAGCAACAGGUGCUCACUCUCUCUCUGGGCAACCCUUUCUGCUGUGGGCAUGCUGGGCUGUUCUCCAAGCUCUUCCUCACAUGCAGUGGGGCUCCCCAAAGCCCCAGCUCUGUGUCUGGCUCUGCAGGGUCCCUCCAGGCUGAGUCCCCAGCCCCUCCCUCCAGGCUCAUCUCCCUACCGCCUGGAGGAAUGUCUGCAGACACCGCAAGGCUGGUUCUCUGAGUUCUGGCAGCACCUCCACCCUGUGAUGUUGGGCAAACCCCUUGCCCUGAUCCAGCCUGUCUCCUCUGCAGAACUCCCGGAGCAAGAGGUGACCUCCAGGGACCCUUCCCCCUCUGACCUCAGUCUGAGGUGAGUUCUCUUAGGGAGGCCUCAAACCCUUAAUGAAAACCCUCACCAGAUGAAAAGGCUAAACAUUCCCUUCAACCAAACUGGGCUCAGGGGGCAGCAGGUCUAAUGAAUCCUGGCACUUCUUUGGCCCUUGGGGGAGCUACUUGAACUUUUAAUGAUGCUGGAGUAAGAACUCCUCCUGCAGACUCCUGGGGCCCUGGGAGCCCGGCUGCCUUCCCUAGGGAAGUUAAGGAGGGAAGUCUGUUGUGAGGAGGAGGAGGAGGAAGGCAAACAGGGGAUUUUCGUCCUCAGAACUUCUCCAGGAAGACUCCCACCCCACACCAGCCGCUGGCGGCGGGGCAGGACCUUACAACUAUGAACUUGAAGAACUUCAGUCAGCUCAAACGGCCCCUUGGAAUCACCCAGACUCAGCCUUCACUGACAGAUGGAGAAACUGAAGCCAGAGAAGGGAAACACUUGCCUAAGUUCUCCCAGCCUCGUGCGCUAAUCUAUACAGCAGGGUUGGGACUUCCUAGCCAAGGAAUGGGAGUUCUAGACCACACAGCUGAUGGGUAAGCUUUUUGAAACUCAUAUUAUUUAGCUUCGUGCCCAUACUUUCCAGGGUACACAGACUCAUGCACAUGCUUGUAAAUCAACAUUGCUCUGUGGGAAAACUUAUACACCAAUAACUGUGUGUGCACACGCUCAUGCAAAUAUGCACAGGUGAAUACAAGUUCCAGACAACUCACAAAUAUGUGCUUGUAGUAGCUGCAGGUGGUUCUUGGAAGUCCAGCCAUAGCAACCACAUUGUUUUCACUAAUUGGUGGCACCACCUAGUGGUGACACUGUAAAUAAAUCAGUUUUGUAUUCUGACCUGUCAAAAGUUACAGUAUCUGAUGGUUGUUUACAGAUCAUAAUUUGGACCCGUGCAUUUAAAUCCUCCCUAUUCCAAAUUCCUAUUGAAACAGACAAAGAGAUAAAAAUCCUAUUCCACUCUAGAAAUCAGUAAAAAAAAUCACAUUACUGGCCCAUAAACUUCAAGGAAUUUCAACAAGAUACAGUGCAAAUAGAACCAGGCUGAUGAGUAUAUUGACUAAAGAAGGACAUUCCUGGGAAAUAAUGGAGGAUACGCCCCAGGAGAGUCUCCCUAAAGCCCCGUAAUAGACAGCCAGGACUAGGAAAAAGGCUGAGAUGGGGAUAAGCGGGAAAAAAACUGAGCAACCUUGGGAAUUGCGAGUGCCUGCUCGCAGAGAAGGUGGCCAAGGCUCAGCUCCUCUUUUGGUUUGCACAGAAAAGCAAG
rnacentral:lncRNA from 1 species